UUAAAAGAUAGUGUAGUGGGUGCACGAGGGGUUUUGAUCCUCUAGGGAUAGGUUCGAGUCCUGUUUUUUUAG
rnacentral:tRNA from 1 species